CAAUAGCGUAUAUUAAAGUUGUUGCAGUUAAAAAGCUCGUAGUUGGAUUUCUGGUGGGAGCGAUCGGUCUGGCGCUUAGCGCGAGUACUUGCAUCGUCUCCGGCCAUCCUUGGGGAGAGUCUGUCUGGCAUUAAGUUGUCGGGCAGAGGAUCCUCAUCGUUUACUGUGAAAAAAUUAGAGUGUUCAAAGCAGGCUUAUGCCGUUGAAUAUAUUAGCAUGGAAUAAUAAGAUAGGACUUUGGUACUAUUUUGUUGGUUUGCGCACCAAAGUAAUGAUUAAUAGGGACAGUUGGGGGUAUUCGUAUUCCGUUGUCAGAGGUGAAAUUCUUGAAUUUACGGAAGACGAACUACUGCGAAAGCAUUUACCAAGGAUGUUUUCAUUAA
rnacentral:rRNA from 1 species